ACGUCAAGUCCUCAUGGCCCUUACGGGCUGGGCUACACACGUGCUACAAUGGCGGUGACAGUGGGAUGCGAAGGAGCGAUCCGGAGCUAAUCCCGAAAAGCCGUCUCAGUUCGGAUUGUUCUCUGCAACUCGAGAGCGUGAAGUCGGAAUCGCUAGUAAUCGUGGAUCAGCACGCCACGGUGAAUACGUUCCCGGGCCUU
rnacentral:rRNA from 1 species